GGAAAAUGAGUACCAGUGAUGCCGCUAAUAAACUAGAGCUGGCCAGACUGGAAGCACAAGAGAAUGAAAAGAAUCAUAAGAAACUGCUCAAAUUAAAACAACUCGAGAAAGAAGCUGCUGAAAGAGCAGAGAAAGCCAAUGAGGCUGCCCACAAAGAGCUAUGGAGGAGAAAGAAAAAGAGAGGAAUCAUGAACUGGAGUUAGAGAGGGCAAGGGCUAGGCAAAAUACACCAGAAAACCCUAGAAACCCCUCUCCAGGUACUGCUUCCCAUCCC